rnacentral:rRNA from 1 species
GACGAACGCUGGCGGCGUGCCUAAUACAUGCAAGUAGAACGCUGAAGGAGGAGCUUGCUCUUCUGGAUGAGUUGCGAACGGGUGAGUAACGCGUAGGUAACCUGCCUGGUAGCGGGGGAUAACUAUUGGAAACGAUAGCUAAUACCGCAUAAGAGUAGAUGUUGCAUGACAUUUGCUUAAAAGGUGCAAUUGCAUCACUACCAGAUGGACCUGCGUUGUAUUAGCUAGUUGGUGGGGUAACGGCUCACCAAGGCGACGAUACAUAGCCGACCUGAGAGGGUGAUCGGCCACACUGGGACUGAGACACGGCCCAGACUCCUACGGGAGGCAGCAGUAGGGAAUCUUCGGCCAUGGACGGAAGUCUGACCGAGCAACGCCGCGGGAGUGAAGAAGGGUUUCGGAUCGUAAAGCUCUGUUGUAAGAGAAGAACGAGUGUGAGAGUGGAAAGUUCACACUGUGACGGUACCUUACCAGAAAGGGACGGCUAACUACGUG